rnacentral:tRNA from 1 species
UAGUCUAUAUCUUAAUGGUAAAGAGAUCGAUUGAUAAUCGAUAGAUGAAAGUUCAAUUCUUUCUAGACUAA